rnacentral:rRNA from 1 species
CAGCAGCCGCGGUAAUACGUAGGGUGCGAGCGUUAAUCGGAAUUACUGGGCGUAAAGCGUGCGCAGGCGGUUCGUUAAGACAGAUGUGAAAUCCCCGGGCUUAACCUGGGAACUGCAUUUGUGACUGGCGGGCUAGAGUAUGGCAGAGGGGGGUAGAAUUCCACGAGUAGCAGUGAAAUACGUAGAGAUGUGGAGGAAUACCGAUGGCGAAGGCAGCCCCCUGGGCCAAUACUGACGCUCAUGCACGAAAGCGUGGGGAGCAAACAGGAUUAGAUACCCCCGUAGUCCCUGUCUCUUAUAC